AAGAAAUUAUAGUACCCCGUCAGGCAACACCACAUGGGUGUGUAAAUACAGAAGAUCGAGCUUCUGGCACUCGAGACUGAUUUCUCAUUGGCGGUAACCUGAGGAAUAUCAUUUGUCUUCACUCCAAUGUUGCUCUGAAAACAAAAUCUGGAUCAACAACUCUGAACCAUCAGACUUGCCAAGACAUAUGGGAAUAACAGACUACCCCUCCCCAUAAACUACUUAAAGAGUACUUCUACCUCAUUGCAACGCUUCAUGGUCCAACCUCAACAGCAGGGAUCCCCAGUUCCCAGUCUACAGCAUUCCAGAAACUGGGCUGAGCAAACAAGCAAAGCCCCAUCCGCAGGAUGCAGGCAGCAUGCAAAACUAUGCCGCCUCCCAUUUGUGAAAAAACCUCUUUCCAUGGUGCACAAAAUAUUGGGAGCCUCUGCUCUACAGGUUCCUUUAUCCUAUGUGACUUA